AAGCUCUUAGAUUUGCUAGGGGACACUGUAGCGCUACAUAUUAUAGUAGGUUGCCUAUAUAAGCCCCUUAAUUUUUCUUUUUUAGACACUGAUAACUAUUAACUGAUAAGUUAUUAGUACAAAAGAACAACUACUUAGCUUUUUUCUAAUUUUUAAAUUAAGUCCAAUAGUCCAUUAGCCUUUAGGUACUUAAUAUUAUAGUGUUAUUAGUGUUAAAAUAUAAAAAUAUAUACAUAGUUUAUAAUAAAACGUGCAAUACAUCAUUACCAUUUACCUGUAUCAAGUGUAUGGCUGUAUGGAUUAUGGACACUGGAUUACUAAAACAAGGUUUAUUUCAUAGAGUAAUAUUUGAUGGUUAGCUUAUUGUUUUUACAAUAAUUUGAUACAGUUCUACACGGUUAUACGGUGAACAAAAAAAUAAUAAGCCACCAAUAUAAACAGAAAGUUCGUUAAAUCGUAUAUAUUAUAAUUUUCAGCUCAUCGGGGUGAGAUGAUUAAAUGAAGAUGGAUGAACAUGGCUGUUUCUUCGGCGAUGGCGGCACUCUAGCUACGUUUCACCGGAAGAGUAGAUGUUUACGACCGUUGCAGAAGACACAGUCGAUUAAAAAUUCUAAAAUUUCAAUAAGCAAAGAAGAUACGAGCAAAAAACUUACCGCGUUUCGUAUAAUUUUAUUUUUCAUAAAUCACAAUAUUCUAAGUUCUGUAUUCUGAAGCAUUUCCUCAUGGGCGUCGCAGUUCACAUCACGGUAUCCGCCGAAAGAGUCGAUAAUUAAAUCUUACUACCUGCAAAUUAUAAACUAAGCAGUUAUCCCAAUUGCUAGUUUAUAACACUGGCGCAGUCGAGUACGGAACUUCCAAGGAGAUUGAGGCGAGUCGAGCAGUCAUAGCAGCGGAAAUCAACAGAAGAAGUGCAGCAGUGACACAGCGGUUCGAUUCAAAUCAACUACACGGACUACGGAGGCAACUUUUUAAGUCACAGUCGAGGACCGAUCACCCUUGACAACUCCGGGAAGCGACGAACAAAUUGAAGACAGACAAGCAGACGAAAAUAAAAGAAAAAUGAACAGAGCAGUAGGUGCAGGGAUUAUUGCUCUCAGAUAUUUCAACAGCGACGUCGAGGUUCGAUUCCAGUCUUCCUGCCACUGCAAGGCGAAAUCUUACGCCACAUUUGCCGAUAAUAUAAAACCAUCAUCGCGUCGUCAAAUGACUUUCGGGAUGGUUUGAGAGCCCUGAUUUCGUUACUCGUCCGUUCGGUCGGAGUAAAAUCUCUUUUCUAUGGUCGGAGUUGUUUUCCAGCCACCGCCGCUGCUGCCACACUAAAUCGAAAACCAUCGCACAAUUACGUCGCCGGCAACGUUAACGACUACAUCCAGAGAGGACGCAGUGGAGAUAAUCGGCUGUUCGCCGGCCGUCCGAAAAACUGAUGUCCCUAUAUUCGUCCCGAUGUCGGCCGCAUAGCCCGGACCGUCGCGCGUCCAACCGCCACGUUGAGACGUCGCCGAAACUGUUAUAGGUACGAAAUGAAGAUUUUUAGUGUGAAUCGAUAAAAAAAAAACGUUAGCCGUCUCUUCCUAAGGUGUAAUAGACUAGCAAAUAAACGAAGGAAAUAUCAAUUAUUAUAUUUUAUUUGUUUUAUUUUUAUAUAGUAUUAAUACACUAAAUAUCCAUGGUUAUUGCCGUCGUUUCGCUAUUUUUGCAGUGUUCGUUUGCAAUCGAUAGGUACGGAUUAAUUAAAAAACUUAAUAAUAUGUUUUUAAAAACAAGACAAUUUUAAGUUUUUUUUUACAAAUUAUAAACGAAUUAAUAGUUAUAAUAUUUUGUUUGGAUUUUGAGGCGAUAGAACUAAUAAAAAAUACUAUAAAGUAAAAACUGAUAAGUACAAAAUAAUUUCCUCUUUUUUCCAUGUAGAUCAGUGGUUUUCAAACUUAUAUUAAACACGGCACACCGUACUCUUCAAACAAUUUUCACGGCACACUGAUCUUUUUUUUUUUGCUCUAAGUAAUUAGAUGAACAAUAUUGUUUUGAAUUAUAGUUAUAUUCAUUUAAUUAGUAAUGUGUGCUUGACAGGCGUACAAAUUUUUAUUCAUUUUAUUUUUAUCAUUUUAUUCUUGGACGAAUAGUUGACAUUUUUCAGAAGACCGCAACACACUUAACAAAUGAACCAAUUUGAAAACCACUGGUGUAGAUUAACAUACACACAUUUUUAUUCCAAUAUAAUUUUAAUGUAGGUAUUAUUUUUGUAAAACUGUACUUAAUUUACAUAUACGACUAUAAUAUAACGGUAUAUUUUAUAAUUAUGUAUUAUACUUUAUCUUAUUACCUACUAUGAGUAACAUUAAAAAUUCUCAUUUGUCCCUAAUAUUUUUAUUUUGUUUUUCUCUACAUCGACGCUUUUGAAAAUUACAUUGAAUUUUUUACUAUAAUACUAGAUUCAUUUUCCUAUCAUCAAAAACAAUGCUGAAGUAGAAAAUCGAAGCAUUUUUUUCUGUCCCAAAAGGUAAUGACAGAUAAAAAAAAACUCAUCAUGGAUGUGAUGUAGCUGUUUGGACGUGGGAACGAUAAAACCUAAUAAAAAUAUAAGUACCUAUUAAUAAGUAGCAAAAAUUAAAAUUAAAAUACAAUAUCAAACUCUGUUAUUUAUAUUAUUAAUUAUAUUUAUUGAAAUGCAUAAAAAAUUAAUAAACUACAAAGUAUACCUAUGUUAUUUUAAUGGAUGUGUUAAAUUUUAGUUCAAUGAUAAAUCAUUGUAGACACAAAUCGAUUCUGAGCGGUCUUACAGCAGACUGAAAAUACCAAAAAUAAAUUUGUACAACAUUUAUUAUGCAUACACCUCCCAAAUACAAAUGUUGACAAAAAAUUGGUUAAUUUAACGAGAAAUAACGAUUUUAGUUCUCUGGUGUAAGUACUUGAAACAAUCCGAUUCAAAACAUAUUUACUUUAUUUUUUAAGGCAUUUGUCUUGUUUUUUAAUGCAUUUAAAUCCACGUCAUGUUUAUAACUUAACAUUAUAUUGUAUAUACCAAUCGAUUAUUAUAUCCACGUCUAGCCAGAGUAUUUACUUAAUAUUAUCUAAUAUAGUGUAGGUACGGUACCUAUAUUUUGUUAUUAAUCGAGUAAAUUUUAAAUUAUAAUAUAUGUAGUGGCUGAAAGUUUCAAGUCAGUCUCUACAAAUAAUACUUUUGGUCUUUUGGAAUUGCAACAAAAUAACUAAAAUUAUUAUUCUUCAUUUCAUAAACAAUUUUGUCGUUUUUUUUUAUCAAAUGUUAUUGUCGCAUUAUUUUGUUUUAUAAAGUGUUGACAAGUAGCAUCUUAAACCAUACAAAUAAAUAAAAUUAUAUAUCUAUGAAUAGUUCAUAGAUAUGUCUUCAAUACAUUAUAUGGUUUGGUAGAGGUAUGGUAAAUUGACUAUAAUUUAUAAAGUACUUAUUUAUGAUCAAUGGCGGAAGCACAGAAUAGGUUGAAUUCUAUAAAAUAAACCUAUUCAGUGAAAAUAUUUGUUGAAUAUUAUAGAAUAAUAAUAUAUAGAUUAACAUUUAUAGUUAUUAAAAACUGUAUAGUAAAAAAAAAAAU